GAAUGCUGACAUAAGUAACGAUAAUGCGGGUGAAAAACCCGCACGCCGGAAGACCAAGGGUUCCUGUCCAACGUUAAUCGGGGCAGGGUGAGUCGACCCCUAAGGCGAGGCUGAAAAGCGUAGUCGAUGGGCAACGGGUUAAUAUUCCCGUACUGGUGGUAACUGCGAAGGGGGGACGGAGAAAGCUAAAUCAUCCGGGCGACGGUUGUCCCGGUUUAAGCGUGCAGGUGGACUGACCAGGCAAAUCCGGUCGGUUGUUAACACUGAGGCGUGACGACGAGCCACUACGGUGGUGAAGUGAUUGAUGCUCUGCUUCCGGGAAAAGCCUCUAAGCUCCAGGUUACCAUUAAUCGUACCCCAAACCGACACAGGUGGUCAGGUAGAGAAUACUCAGGCGCUUGAGAGAACUCGGGUGAAGGAACUAGGCAAAAUGGUGCCGUAACUUCGGGAGAAGGC
rnacentral:rRNA from 2 species